rnacentral:rRNA from 1 species
UACGGGGGGGGCAAGCGUUGUUCGGAAUUACUGGGCGUAAAGGGUUCGUAGGUGGCUUGCUAAGUCAGACGUGAAAUCCCUCAGCUUAACUGGGGAACUGCGUCUGAGACUGGCGAGCUUGAGUGCAGGAGAGGAACGCGGAAUUCCAGGUGUAGCGGUGAAAUGCGUAGAUAUCUGGAGGAACACCGGUGGCGAAGGCGGCGUUCUGGACUGCAACUGACACUGAGGAACGAAAGCCAGGGGAGCAAACGGG